rnacentral:rRNA from 1 species
UCGAGGAUCAUUCGCAAUGCGCGAAAGCGUGACGAUGCGACGCCGCGUGCAGGAUGACGGCCUUCGGGUUGUAAACUGCUGUCGUGAGGGAACAAGGGAUGUGACAUUAAUAAUGUCAUAUAGUGAUAGUACCUCAGGAGGAAGACACGGCAAACUCUGUGCCAGCAGCCGCGGUAAUACAGAGGUGUCAAGCGUUGUUCGGAUUUACUGGGCGUAAAGGGUGCGUAGGCGGUUAGGUGUGUUAAGUGUGAAAUCUUAUCGGUUAACGAUGAAACUGCGCUUAAAACUACUUAACUAGAGUACAGGAGAGGAGAGCAGAAUUCUUGGUGUAGCAGUGAAAUGCGUAGAUAUCAAGAGGAAUACCGGAGGCGAAGGCGGCUCUCUGGAAUGAUACUGACGCUGAGGCACGAAAGCUGGGGGAGCAAACA